rnacentral:tRNA from 1 species
GCCUGGCUGGCUCAGUUGGUGGAGCAUGUGACUCUUAAUCUUGGGGUUUGAGUUCAAGUCCCGUGUUGGGUA